AUGAUACCAUUUUUCUUAUUCAAGAUUGCUUAGAAGGCGCCAGAAAUCUUAAAUUCAUUUUAUGUUUGUUUGAAAGCAUGUCAGGUUUAAAAAUUAACUUUCACAAAAGUGAAAUAUUAUGUUUUGGAGAUGCUAAAGAGAUUGAUUUUUUGUAUGCUGAUAUUUUUACAUGUCCUAUAGGUAAUCUACCUAUGAAAUAUCUUGGUGUGCCAAUAGAUAAGAAAAAGAUUAAGAAAAACCUUUGGUGCCCCAUGAUUGAAAAGUUGGAAAAAAGAUUAGCUGGAUGGCAGGGUAGAUUCUUGAGUCUUGGUGGUAGACUUACUUUACUUAAUAGUUGUCUUUCUAAUGUUCCUUUAUAUAUGCUGUCAAUCUAUCCUGCCCCUAAGUCUGUUAUUAGGAAAAUUGAUUUGUUAAGAAGGAGACUUUUAUGGCAGGGGGGUAAACAGUCCAAGAAAUUUCAUCUGGCGGAUUGGGAGUCAGUAUGUUCUCCCAAAAUUCAAGGUGGUCUUGGAGUGUUGAAUCUUGAGAAAAAGAAGGUGCAAAGAAUGGUGGUGCUAGGAAGCAGGUUAAUCCGAAAGACGGCAAGUGAAGCUUUCGGGAGGGCCUUGGGGUGGUGUCCUCUUGACAGGCGGAUUUCUGGUUGACAUAAAAGAUGCUGAAGCCGUGAAAACUUGUUGGGAUAGUUGUUUGUCUUUUGUUGGCCUUUCUGGUCAGGUCUUUUGUGGCUUCUGCCUGUCUUGAUGGGUUGUAUAUAAGAAAGUCUUAUGUAGCUCUUCGUAGGCCAAAACUUCCUCUGUUAUCGUAGUCUCUUCACUGAUCUUGCGUUAGUGUUUAGAGUCUAGAUAACUCCCUGGCCGUGGCUGUUCUGUUUGGAAGUCCUACCGCGUAGGUGCGGUUGUUUCAUACAUUCCUAUUUCUUAAUGAAAUAGGGGGCUUCGCCCCUUCGUCAA